GAUCAUGGCUCAGGAUGAACGCUGGCGGCGUGCUUAACACAUGCAAGUCGAACGGGAAACCUUUUAUUGAAGCUUCGGCAGAUCUAGCUGGUUUCUAGUGGCGGACGGGUGAGUAACGCGUGGGUAACCUGCCUUAUACAGGGGGAUAACAACCAGAAAUGGUUGCUAAUACCGCAUAAGCGCACAGGACCGCAUGGUCUGGUGUGAAAAACUCCGGUGGUAUAAGAUGGACCCGCGUUGGAUUAG
rnacentral:rRNA from 1 species